rnacentral:rRNA from 1 species
AACGAACGCUGGCGGCAUGCCUAACACAUGCAAGUCGAACGAGACCUUCGGGUCUAGUGGCGCACGGGUGCGUAACGCGUGGGAACCUGCCCUUAGGUUCGGAAUAACUCCCCGAAAGGGGUGCUAAUACGGGAUAAAGUCUCCGGACCAAAGAUUUAUCGCCUUUGGAUGGGCCCGGGUUGGAUUAGCUAGUUGGUAGGGUAAAAGCCUACCAAGGCGACGAUCCAUAGCUGGGCAGAGAGGAUGAUCAGCCACACUGGGACUGAGACACGGCCCAGACUCUUACGGGAUGCAGCAGUGGGGAAUAUUGGACAAUGGGCGAAAGCCUGAUCCAGCAAGGCCGCGUGAGUGAUGAAGGCCUUAGGGUUGUAAAGCUCUUUUACCCGGGAUGAUAAUGACAGUACCGGGAGAAUAAGCUCCGGCUAACUCCGUG